AUUGAACGCUGGCGGCAGGCCUAACACAUGCAAGUCGAACGAGUGGCGGACGGGUGAGUAAUGUCUGGGAAACUGCCCGAUGGAGGGGGAUAACUACUGGAAACGGUAGCUAAUACAGCAUAACAUCGGAUGUGACCAGAUGGGAUUAGCUUGUAGGUGAGGUAACGGCUGACCUAGGCGACGAUCCCUAGCUGGUCUGAGAGGAUGACCAGCCAUCCUGGAACUGAGCCACGGUCCCGACUCCUACGGGGUGCAGCAGUGGGGAAUAUGGGCCAAUGGGCGCAAGCCUGAUGCACCCAUGCCGCGUGUAUGAAGAAGGCCUUCGGGUUGUAAAGUACUUUCAGCGGGGAGGCGUUACCCGCAGAAGAAGCACCGGCUAACUCCGUGCCAGCAGCCGCGGUAAUAC
rnacentral:rRNA from 1 species